AUUGAGCGCUGGCGGCAGGCCUAACACAUGCAAGUCGAACGGUAACAGGGAUCAGCUUGCUGAUUCGCUGACGAGUGGCGGACGGGUGAGUAAUGUCUGGGAAACUGCCUGAUGGAGGGGGAUAACUACUGGAAACGGUAGCUAAUACCGCAUAACGUCGCAAGACCAAAGAGGGGGACCUUCGGGCCUCUUGCCAUCGGAUGUGCCCAGAUGGGAUUAGCUAGUAGGUGGGGUAACGGCUCACCUAGGCGACGAUCCCUAGCUGGUCUGAGAGGAUGACCAGCCACACUGGAACUGAGACACGGUCCAGACUCCUACGGGAGGCAGCAGUGGGGAAUAUUGCACAAUGGGCGCAAGCCUGAUGCAGCCAUGCCGCGUGUAUGAAGAAGGCCUUCGGGUUGUAAAGUACUUUCAGCGGGGAGGAAGGGAGUAAAGUUAAUACCUUUGCUCAUUGACGUUACCCGCAGAAGAAGCACCGGCUAACUCCGU
rnacentral:rRNA from 1 species